CUGUGGUUUCUCCAAGCGCGGCUGAACAGAACUGCGAUACCACACGCGUCCGAGCAACCUGCGCUAUCGGGGGAUUUAAACACUACUCAGCGCUAGAACCCAAACCGCUUCUUUGGAUCUGCCGCAGGACGCUCGCAUACGGGAUUAUUGUUUAUUUGUUUAUUUGAACAAGAAGAUGUGAGUUUUUUUGUGUGAAUGCACGAUAAGAAAGAGAGGAACUCCAUCGCUGAUCAAGGUACACUUAAGGAAGAAGGAGAAGACGAAGCCGCUAAACAACUGAAGAUAUGAAGCUAAAGGGCUUUUGAAGACAAGCGAGUGAGACAUCCUGUUUGAAGACCACAGCCUUCUCUUCGUGGGGCCUCGGCACUCCAGCCAGGUCAAAGGUCGCCCCGGAGCAAGAUGGCCGCCGGCGGUCCACCCUGCCUCCGUCUGCCGCCCCUGCUGCCCCUCAGAACUCUGUUGCUCUGUAUGCUGCUUACUGGCUUCCAUG